ensembl:lncRNA
AUGCCAGGGGCCUUGGGAAAAGAGGGUAGUGUUCUCGUAGGAGGAAGAGCGCUCCUGAGCUCAGCUGCAGUACUAGAACUGAAAGGAGCCAGCCACGCUUGGGGAAAACCCCCACCACGCUCCCAGAUCGAGUCACCAGUGCCUGUGAGAGCAGCUGCUGGAAUCGGGAUAGGCGCCAUCCACCCCCGUGAGCAGCAGCGGGACGGGAUGGAGGCACAGCCCUGGCGGGAGGCACGCCACCCCAGAAGGAGGCUGGGCACCGACCACCGGCCCUUUCCAGCCCAAAGGCCUGGCGGACUGAGCUCUCGAAAGCACUGAUGGGGCCGCACCACUGACCUCGAGCCAGCGCAGCGACAGCACGUCCCCACCUCGGGCAGGGCUGGCCCACGGCGGCCAGAGCAGCAGCCCGAAUCCGAACAUCGCACCUUUCCAGGUAGGAUUCUAACCCAGAGACUGACGACCUGCCCCCUUGGGUACUUCCUGUCCUCCAAACCUAGGAAACGAGAGCUCUUCCAGUGACAGAAUCUGUCAUUCAAGCUGCACGAAGGCUGUUUCAAGGGCAGCCAACCUGGGACAGCCGAGCAGCCUCCCUGCUGCGCGUCCGGGCACACUGCAGAGUGUGGGCGCCCCGAGCCGGGAGGAGGGAAACCCUGACACCUCACAACCUCUUAGGAAACCAAGUUCGGAGAAGAAGAGCAAAAACAACACAAAACGAGACAUCUCAGGAAAAGGCAAGCUGUCUGACAUGCGUGGAGAGCUGUAUUAGUGUUGCUUCGACCCCGGGAUACAGCCUGGCCUCUCCCUGCCUCGCCUGGUGUGUGUGUGGCCUGUGGUGUGGAUGAGGUUACCAGUAUCAGCGGCAUAUUGUCAGGUGCUGAGAAAUGUGAGAUGUAUUCUUUUGUAUAUAUACGCAUAUAAAAAUAAGAGUGAGGUAGAUAAAUGCUUGAAAACCAAAACCAAAACCAAAAAAAAAAAAAAACCAAACAAAACCCAACAAAAGCAAAAAAAACCCAAAAACUGUCCUGUCUUAAACAUACACACACACACACACACACACACCACACACAAAACCCUUUUCUCAGUAUUUAAAUUCUUAAUGGGGCUUCUCUACAGUGAUUGAAACUGGUAUCACAAAAUAAAUUAAAAGAAAACUCCUACAUAUAAUACCUUCUUAAUUAACUUUUUUCUUUUUUCUCAUUUUUUUUAAGGGAAAAAAACUAUGGGACAGAGGCUAGAGAAAAUCGCAGGACUGAAGCUACCGACAAGCAGAAAAGCACUACACACUUGCUUUCUCGUGUUUAAUCUCCAGUCACAACUAGCAAUCAUAUUUGAGCUUUGUUCUUACUCAUAAUUUAAACAUUUCCAUCCCAGAAGCAACUCGUGUGCUGUCAUCACUCUGGUGAGAAGUGCUAAAAACUAAACAAAACAAGACCCCCCCGGGCCCCGAGGACUUGGAUUCCUGGCCAAGGAAAAGCGCGCCAGCGCCCGGGCUCUGGUCCCCUGGGAGCCAGCACGGGGGGACUCCCCGGCCAUCGCGGUGGUGCUCGCCCCGACCUGGCCCUCCGGCUGGCAGACCUGGCGGGGCACCUGCCGCCACCCCGAGGGGGCUGCCCCUGCCGCCCCCUCCUCGCCAGUGCCCAGGAGGUGCCUGGGGAUUUUGGGGUUCUAAAGACAGGUAGGUCGGUCUGGAGGGUGGUGGCGGGAGCCGCAGAGGGGCCCACUGCACCCUGGGACUCAGCAGCUGGUUCUCAUGGGAUGGAAGGAUUAAAUAUCCAUAAAAAAAAUAGUAAUCCAAAUGCCUAGUGUCUGCAGUUAAAACUGCUGUUGUACCCAAGAAUUAAAAAAAUAGAUAUAUGUGUGUCACAACCAAAACAAAGGUGAGGGAAAGAGAAGGUGAGACUUUCCAACAAGGGUGACUAUAAACACUGAACAAGGAUGUGCGAAAUAUUUAACCUUUUUUUUCUGACCUGAGUUUGUAUCAUGUCUUGCACUGUAACAGACUCCAGCGCUGUGAGAGCAGGCUGAGGAGUGGGGUGCCAGCACGCCAGGGCCUGCCCCUGGGGGUGCCGCCUGCUGCCCGCCUGCUUCCCUCGCCAGCCUUGUGCCCACAGAGCCUCCGGGUUAGAACAUAACUAACGGGCAGGGGGAAUGGGGAGGGGAGGGUGUAUUUAUAAAAAGGCAUCAAACAGUUCAUGGCAAAUUAUGUCAUAGAAGUAUCAGUUACUGGGAAGAGAGGAAGAAAGUCACGCACGCUAGUACAAAGCAUAAUAAGAAGUUUCUUGGAGUGAGCAGAAAGGGAAGAAGGGUCGACCUGAAGGUUUUCAUAGAUUAAAUCCACAAAGAUAAAGGACAAAAAAAAUAGCAGCUUUUUUUUUCUGUACAGACGUAUAGAUGAAUAUCUGAACCGUAAAAAAGUUAUAAAAGUGACAUUAAAGACGAUGUGUAUGCAAAUGUUUCAUGGUCUAACAUAGAACUGUAAGACCCAUGAAGAAGUCCUAGUAACAGAGAAAAUGUCAACAAAGCUUAGAAUGCUUGAAUCCAUUUACUGCUUUUCUUCUUACUGUUGUGGUGGUGUUUGAAUUUCUUUCCUUGCAAACCUGCAUAAACAGUUGGGCUGAGUCCCUGGAAACCCCUUCCCAUCUGUGUCGCGGGGGGCCGGGAGCGGGGGGCCGAGGUGGGGGGACAGGAGACUGGCACGUGGACGACCUUUCCUUAAAGCCUGUCUGCCAGGCUCUCGACAGGGCCUGUUUUCUCCAGAAUUCCUGGGGGCUAGCAGGUGGGGGUGGGGAAGAGGGGGUUCAGCCUCUCCUAGUCUCCACUGAGAGAAAAAUCCCAUUCUGUCCACUUCCCCCAAAUAAUAACCUAGUCAAAAGCAACUAGACCUGUGUGAACGUAAGACUGGAAAAGAACACCAGGGGCAAUCGGAUGGAGUGCAGCCUCAACGUGGCUCUUAAAUGGCGUGACUAGAUACCAUGCUCGCCCCAUGCCUCUGGAAACAAGGAAAUAAGUGCCGGGAUCGGGAGGGAGGAAGUUGAGGGUUUUGGCAGAAUUUGGCAGCAUUAAAAUGGUUACAACCUUGAAUGAAUGAUGGCCCUUUUUCAAUUUCGUAAGUCCCUAAAAAGGUGAAAGAUAGUUAAAAAAAUUCCGUCUCAACGUGUUUGUUUGUUUUUUUUUUUAUAAAGACCUACGGUGACAGGCAGGUGUGUACGGGGGCAAUGUGGGGCCACUGGGAGGGACAGCCAGUUCCUCAAUCUGAUCAAAAGGGCGUCCCGGCUGGGCUUGCGGCAAAGGUUUUUUCCAUUAUGAAGCAGAAAGAAAGAGAAAGGUGAGAGAGAGAAAAGGGAAAGAGGGAGGGAGGGAAGGAGGAAGGGCGGGAGACAGGUCUGAGAGAAGUGACGGGGAAAGCGUGAGGAGACUCGAUUCUCGAAUGUUCUGUUGCUAUUAAGUGUUGCCAUUAAGGUUCUUAAAGGCCCAUGUCAGUUAAGGGUUCGGGCAGGGAAAUAAAAAGCUGCUUGCAUAUUGAAAAAAGGAACAUCCCAAAUGUGUUUACUGCAGAGAAGCCGUCUCCCGUGGGCAGCAUUGGCAGUUCUGAAGAUCCACUGAGGUACAGGAGGCUGUGAAUAGAUUGUUAAAACUCUCUCCCCCCACCCGCCGCCCAGCGUGCACACACGUUACUGUUUGCA